rnacentral:rRNA from 1 species
AACGAACGCUGGCGGCAUGCCUAACACAAGCAAGUCGAACGAGACCUUCGGGUCUAGUGGCGCACGGGUGCGUAACGCGUGGGAACCUGCCCUUAGGUUCGGAAUAACUCCCCGAAAGGGGUGCUAAUGCCGGAUAAUGCCUUCGGACCAAAGAUUUAUCGCCUUUGGAUGGGCCCGCGUUGGAUUAGCUAGUUGGUAGGGUAAAAGCCUACCAAGGCGACGAUCCAUAGCUGGUCUGAGAGGAUGAUCAGCCACACUGGGACUGAGACACGGCCCAGACUCCUACGGGAGGCAGCAGUGGGGAAUAUUGGACAAUGGGCGAAAGCCUGAUCCAGCAAUGCCGCGUGAGUGAUGAAGGCCUUAGGGUUGUAAAGCUCUUUUACCCGGGAUGAUAAUGACAGUACCGGGAGAAUAAGCUCCGGCUAACUCCGUG